CUGCCCUAAGUGCCCCUUCUGGC
rnacentral:miRNA from 8 species